rnacentral:rRNA from 1 species
CUACGGGACGCAGCAGUCGAGAAUCUUCCGCAAUGGGCGCAAGCCUGACGGAGCGAUGCUGCGUGCAGGAUGACGGCCUUCGGGUUGUAAACUGCUUUUAUGUGGGACGAAUUUCUGACGGUACCACAAGAAUAAGGGGCUGCUAAUCACGUGCCAGCAGCCGCGGUAAUACGUGAGCCCCAAGGGUUAUCCGGAUUUAUUGGGCGUAAAGAGUCUGUAGGUGGCAAAGUUAGUCUUAUUUUAAAUCAUUUGGCUCAACCAGAUGGCUGGAUGAGAUACGGCUUUGCUCGAGGAAGUGAGAGGCUGAUGGAACUUACGGUGUAGGGGUGAUAUCCGUUGAUAUCGUAAGGAACACCAAAGGCGAAGGCAGUCAGCUGGCGCUUUCCUGACACUGAGAGACGAAAGCGUGGGUAGCGAAUGGGAUUAGAUACCCUAGUAGUC